AACGAACGCUGGCGGCAGGCCUAACACAUGCAAGUCGAACGCCCUAGCAAUAGGGAGUGGCAGACGGGUGAGUAACGCGUGGGAACCUUCCCUGUGGUGCGGAAUAACUCGCCGAAAGGCCGUGCUAAGUACCGCAUAAGCCCGAAAGGGGAAGAUUUAUCGCCAUAGGAUGGGCCCGCGUAGGGAUUAGCUAGUUGGUGAGGUAAUGGCUCACCAAGGCGACGAUCCUCAGCNGGUUUGAGAGAAUGACCAGCCACACUGGGACUGAGACACGGCCCAGACUCCUACGGGAGGCAGCAGU
rnacentral:rRNA from 1 species